rnacentral:tRNA from 1 species
CGGGAUGUAGCGCAGCCCGGUUAGCGCACCUGCUUUGGGAGCAGGGGGUCCCAGGUUCGAAUCCUGGUAUCCCGA